rnacentral:lncRNA from 1 species
UUGCUAUGAAGAAAACUUUCAGUUUCAUGAAAUCUUGUGGGAGGGGGCUAGGAGGUGGUGGUAUUGUGUGUGCAUGUGUGUAUGUGUGUGUGUGUGUGUGUGUGUGUGUGUGUGUAGCUUUCAUUCCCCACACUUAGACAAUCUUAUUUAAAUAACUCUCAGACAAAUGUCAUGGAGCUUUGUUUUUCUUUUCUUUUAGCCACUUCACAGGCUCAGAUCUCAUGUUCAGCUCUUUAAACUACUUGGAGUCAUUCUUCCUUAUGUGACCGAAAGACUUUCAUUGUCUUAUAAACUGAGGAGAGACUUAGAAUCAUAUUCCAGAGGCUAAGGAGACACGAAGAGCAAACACAUUGUGUACCCUGAAGUCAGUGCUGGGGCAGAAAAAGGACAUUCGUGUAAAAACUGAUAUGUACACAGAAUCUGGAGUUUAUUGAGUAGCACUGUAUAUCGAUGUUGGUUUGUUAACAUUCACAAUUACACUGUGGUAAUAUUAACAAGCUAAAAACGAGGCGAAGAGUAUAUGGAGAUUCUACUUUUGCAACUUUUCUGUGAAUCUAACACUUUUCUAAGUUAGAAACUUAGUAAAAUUAUCAUAUUCAAUGUCUGUCUUCCAGCUCCAUCUUGGUCCACAUUCACCCGAUAAAAGGAAGUUCUGCAGCUGUCGGGAUCCAGAAUGGUGGACUGAACUUUCUCAGGAGAUCACUAAGAAACCAGAUGUCAUUGUCAAAAUCAACCAGAUUCCAGAGAGAUAGGAUUUAAAAAAAAGUAGAAGUCUAAACUGGAAAAACCACCAUGAAGAAAUAACGACAUUUACCUUCAACAGUCUUUAAAAUGGACAUAGCUCAGAGUUGUAUUAUCAUCCAUUUGAUUUAAACCCUACUGUAAGGACCAGCUACAAACCCAUUUGGAUUUCAUUUAGUUUGCCCACAGUUAAUUAGUGUUCUGGUAAGAGGAUGAUCUCCCACUUGUGGGAUCUAGCUUGGGAACCACGGAAGGAAUUAUUUUAUAUGGAUACACUCAAAGUUCCAAGAAAUAGCUGUGUCACAAACCCUCUGAACAUGACUUCUGAGCUGGUGACAGCAUCUGCUGCCUGGGACUGGCUUACAGUAUACGGCAAACGAAGGAGGCAGGCAUGUGAUCUCUGUGUAACAGAAGGGAUUCUAACAUGGCUUUUGAAACAAUCUUGUUUCUAGCUCACGGGAUAGCCAAUUAACAGUGCUAGGAACGGUUCAAGGCAACGCCCGGCAGUGCCAGCGUGCUUUCGCUUACUGUUGUGAGGAGCGGUCAUCCUCUGUCGAUAAGAAGGGUGAGAAAAUAGGACCCAGAAAAGCACAAAGUGCACAUAUGCACAGCCACAUCUCCAUCUUCAUCAUCUUGAGAACUAGUAAUCAUUGCCAGUGGGAAGAGAAUGAAAAACAGGAGCCCAGUUGGGUCAGUCAAUAGCUACCUACCCAGGAUAAAUUGCUAAUCACAAGCCCAGCUAGCACGGGUUGAUAAAUAACAAGGUUACUUGACCCGAGGAAAGGACCUGUUUUCUCUCAUGUUGGUAAUUACAUCAAUUCAGAGGGAGACAAGUUGGCUUUCAGCGGCUUAGAGCCAGAUGAUGUUGUAAAUCAAUUACACGUUCUCAGAUCCCUCUCACAGGGUUGCCGAGCCCGUGUAUAUCCAGCAGCUGAUUCCAGUUUGUGUUUGCUGAGUUGAUUGGUGAUAGCCUCUGAGGCCAGUGUGUAUUUGUCCAGAAGGCUUGGGCUCCAGCGCAGGCACAACUCUGUUUCUGGGCUUUAUCUUGCAUACCUGAGGAUCUUGUUGAAAUGCAAAUCCUUAUUCAAUAGUGGUGUGUGUGUGUAUGUAUAUGUGUGUGUAUGUGUGUGGUGUGAUGUGUCUGGUGUGUACAUGUGCAUGUUGAGUUUGUGUGUGUGUGUGUGUUUGUGUGGUAUAUAAUGUGUGUGUCUGUAUGUGUAUGCAGGGGAUGUGCGUCUGUCUAUGUGUGGUGUGUAUGAGUAUGUGUGUAAGUGGUGUGCUGAUGUGUGUAUGUGUUUGUGUAUGCGUGUAUGUGUAUGCUGUAUGUGCGCAUAUGUGUAUGUGUAUUCGUGUUACCUGUGAGUGUGUGUGUCUGUGAUGUGUGAGUGUGUAUUCAUGGUAACUGUGUGUGUGUGUGCAUAUGAUAUGUGAGUGUGUGUUUGUGUGUGCAUGUGUUGAGAUUCUGAGUUGUUAAUAAGCUCCCAGGUGACACCAAUGUCCCUGAACCAUGUACCAUGUUUGCUUAGAGGAAUAAUGGGAGAAAGAGGGCUCACAGGAGUCUGAGGUGAUUGGGAUUUGAAGGGAAUAGAGAUGGAGGAGUUCUGUGGAUUUAGGAUGAUGGUCAACAGGACGUGUCUAAUCUCCACCUUUCUACAUAGAAAAAGACCCAAGCAACAAACGAACAAUUACACUUGAUCACAGUGACUGAAGAGGAGAAAAACCUGCGUGGGGCACAGAAAGCUAGACACAGAAAGAAAGGAAGGGUACAUCGUACUGCAGCUAUCCCACAUCCAAGUGACAUCAGCUCAAACCAAGAGGGACUUUCUUCGUAGAAAAAGCUGAGCAAGAAAACCCCAUCACCACCACAGAUAGCUGCAGUCAUCAUUACUGAUCAGCUCAUUGUUCUCUAUGGCUCUGGGCCAAGCUUAGAAAGCUGCUUAGGGUUCACACUACUCCCAGAGAGGAUGCUUCAUUGUGCCCCAAUCCCUGUGGCCCAAGCUUCUAUUUAACUAUUCUGUUUUGAAUGGGAGCCACAGGAGACCAUGUCCUGCUGCAGAGGCCACUGGCUACUAUAGUAUGUCACUACUCAGCCUUUGCUGUCUUGUUUACACACAUGGGAAUACAUCACUCACAGGCUGAGUGACGGCAUUACAACACACCUCCUAGGAGGCAUACCAUUCCCAUCCCAGUUGCCUCUAUUACUGAGCUUUCUCAUUCCGGUCCACAGGGGAGAUGCCAUCUGCGGCAGCCUGAACUAAUUUGUGCCCUUGCUCCAAGGGAGUAGAGCUUUGUAUUGGGAAGCAACCCUGAUGUUUGCAUCUCAGCCCACAUAGCAAACUGUCCCCAGUGAAGCACUGUGCAGGCAGAGCAGUUGUGACAAUCUGUGAGUGAGCACAAGCCUGGUGGUUGUACUUCCAGGAACUGGAACUCUGUAGGAGGGGCCAGUCAAAACCUCAAUAUCCUGGCUCACAUGAUGCCUUGCUUUCUGUAUGCCAGAAGUACUUGUACUAUGAGAUAGCUGUAUGAGCCCCUUUGGUGGGGCUGCUGUGGCAGCCCUUGAGGUACAAGGAAAUGCCAUGCAUAUCUUCAUGAACCUUAAUAUCAUAGUACCUCUCCCAGAGGUACUGUGUUUCACACUCCAGGAUCCAAAGAAAACACUUCAUGGUACCCUCUCUCCUGACACCUGAGCUGUGACUCUAGUGAUUCUGGGUCCCUGAAUAUACCUAUACUGAUGCUCCCUGGGCAUCGGGGCUAUGAAGGAUUCCAUUUUCCCUCAAUCCACUGGUGUGCCUUAGUCUCAGGGUUAAAGUCUAUAGAACAGGGAGGGAAUCCCCGUCACCUGAUUGGGGGUCAUUGGGGAAAUGUAUGGAACAAGGACUCAAUAGCAGAAGGGAAUCCUGGAGAAUUCACAAAUAUUCUAAAAUGAUAAGAUAUGUUCUCAAAGUACCAAGGCUCCAAGGGGGGGGGGCACCCAAUAUUUCGAGACAAAAGGCAAUAGAAAUAGAACACGUCAAAACUUACAAAGUGCAGCAAAAGCAACCCUGAGGUGAUUUUAUACUAAAAACACUUAUCUGUAAAACAGUAAGGGAGAAAAGUAAUAAUAAAGGGACCAAAUGUUUAACCCAAGGAGCAGAGAUGAAGAGAACCCAUUCGGUCCGAAGUUAGCAGAAAGAAGGGAAUCAUUAAUGCCGGAACAAAGAGAAUGAAAGAAUUAUUAAAAAGUUAAACCAAGAGGGUUUUUUUGUUGUUGUUGUUGUAGUUUUUUAAAAAUAAAACUAAAGGUAUGCAAAGUAAGAACUAAAGAGAGGACCCAGUAAAAUCAGAAGCAAAAGUAAAGACAUUACAACAGAUAACUAAAAGGAAUCAUAAGGAAUAUUACAAAUAACUAUAUGCCAACGAAUUGGAUAAAUUAGAGGAAAUGGAUGGCAUCCCAGAAAAUCAUAACCUACCGAGAUUGAAUCAGGAAGAAACAGCUUGAGCAAGCCAUUAACGAUAAAGAAUGUGAAGAAGUAAUUAAAUAUAUACCAACAAAGAAAAAGCCAGGACCGCUUGGCAUCAUAGCUACCAGGUAUUGCAAAGAAUAUCUAGCAGAUAUUUCAAAGAAUCACCAAUAUUAAAAUAAAUUAAAGCUGAAGGAAUACUCGUAAAUGCAUCACAUAAGGGAAGCAUGACUGUGGUACUCAAGCCAGACAAUGACAUCACAACAGAAGAAAACUACAGAUCAACAUCUCUAAUAAACACUGAUGUAAAAAUCCUAAACAGAAUUAGUAGCAAGCCAAGUUCAACAAUAAAUUAAAAGGCUCACACACCACAAGCAGCAAGAAUUAUCUUUGGCAUGAAAGGCUGCUUUUAAAUCAUGCAAAUCAAUCAAUGCAAUGUACUAUAUCAGUAGGAUAAAACUCAAAACGAGAUAAUCAUCUUAGAUGAUACAAAAAAAAAAUUGACCUGAUUCAGAAUAUUUUCUUGCUGACAUUUCUUGAGGGAGCAUAAUAAGGUCCAUUUAUAAAAAUCCUACAGCUAACAUCAUAAUCAAUGAAUAACUAAAACUUUACAGCAUUUUUCACACUAGGCAUAUGAAAAUAACCUAAAGAACAUCUUUAACAGAGGAAUGAAUAAAGAUAUAAUACAUACAAAGAUAGAAUGGAAUAUUAUUUAUCCCAUAAAGAAAGAGAACUUGACAUUUGACCACAACAUGACAUAGCUGGAAGACUUUAUGUCAAGUGAAAUAGAAAAAAAAAAAAGGUAAAACAGAGAAUAAAGCAUGAAACAUUAGCUGUGGAUACACAGGGGUAGAAGAAAUGAGGACACGUGUGUCAAAUGAGACAAUAAGAUUGAUCUAUAACACAUGAGUGCAAGGAAAUAUGGCAGAACAUGAAGACAAUAGCUUACAGAAAUCUUGGGUACUCUAGAUUUUUCUUAAGUAGAUAGAGUUUGGAUCUAUUGAAUAUGUACAAUGUAAUAUAAGCCACGGUUGUUCAUUGCCCAUCUUCAGAUUUUACUCAGGAGGCAGCAGGCUUACACUACAGGCUCUUGGACCCUUACAAUAACUCCCUAUGCAGGGAUCUCUUCCUGACUGUCCCCACCAUUCGUUCUCCCUUUUUUCUGAGUUCAAUAUCUGAUACAAGGCAGACAUUCCCACCUUACUACUUUUGUUUAUAGCAGCACGGCACUGGAAGUACUAGUCACAGCAGCCAGUGAAGGAGAAUACAGGAGAGGCAUCCAAACCUGAAAGGGAGACAUGCAAUCACCUUUAUUGCAAAUGACAUGACUUAUAUGAAGAACAUCCUAAAAAUUCACACACACACACACACACACACACCCUGUUGAGAGGCUAGAAAGAUGGCUCAGUGGUUUAGAGUGCUUACUACGCGUGGUGCUCAGUUUUUAUGUUAACUUGACACAUGCUUGAGUUAUCUGGGAAGAAGUAUUCUCAACUGAGAAAAAGUUUCCAUAAGUCUGGUCUUUAGGCAGAUCUGUGAGGCAUUGUUGUUGUUGUUAAUGAUUGGUGUGGGAGAGACCGGCAACUCAGAUGGUCUUGAGUUGUAUAAAAAAGAAGGCUGAGCAAGCCACAAGGAGCAAGCCAGUAAGCAGCCUUCCUUCAUGACUUUUACAUCACUUCCUGCCUCUAGCUUUCUGCCUUGGGUUCCUGACCUGAUUUCCCUCAGUGAUGAAGUCUGACCUGACAGUUGCAAGAUGAAGUAAAUCCUUUCCUUCUCAAGUGGAUUGGAUGAUGGUGUUUGACCACCGCAUCGGAAACCUUAACUAAGACUCUGCACUUGCAGAGAACCCAGGUUAAGUUCUUGGCACCCACAUGGCAACUCAAUAGCUGUUGGAAUCUCUAGUUCCAGGAUAUCCAAAGCUUUCUUCUGGUCUUCUUGGGUUCCUGCAUGCAUGUAGUACACAUAAGCUUAUGCACAUGUACACACACACACACACACACACACACACAGACACACACACACACAGACACACACACACACAGACACACACAUAUACACUAAAUUAAUUAAAAAUAUUUUUGGUUUCACAUACAAAUUGUAAAAUAUAUAGCCAUCAUGCAAAUUAGUAGCAUUUGUAUGUACAAAUGAC